GACGAACGCUGGCGGCGUGCUUAACACAUGCAAGUCGAACGAGAAGAGAUGAGAAGCUUGCUUCUUAUCAAUUCGAGUGGCAAACGGGUGAGUAACGCGUAAGCAACCUGCCCUUCAGAUGGGGACAACAGCUGGAAACGGCUGCUAAUACCGAAUACGUUCUUUUGUCGCAUGGCAGAGGGAAGAAAGGGAGGCUCUUCGGAGCUUUCGCUGAAGGAGGGGCUUGCGUCUGAUUAGCUAGUUGGAGGGGUAACGGCCCACCAAGGCGACGAUCAGUAGCCGGUCUGGAGAGGAUGAACGGCCACAUUGGGACUGAGACACGGCCCAGACUCCUACGGAGCAGCAGUGGGAAUCUUGCACAAUGGGCGAAAGCCUGAUGCAGCGAAGCCGCGUGAGCGAAGAAGUAUUCGGUAUGUAAAGCUCUAUCAGCAGG
rnacentral:rRNA from 1 species